rnacentral:rRNA from 1 species
UACGUAGGGUGCGAGCGUUAAUCGGAAUUACUGGGCGUAAAGCGUGCGCAGGCGGUUUUGUAAGUCAGAUGUGAAAUCCCCGGGCUCAACCUGGGAAUGGCAUUUGGGACUGCAAGGCUGGAGUGCGGCAGAGGAGACUGGAAUUCCUGGUGUAGCAGUGAAAUGCGUAGAUAUCAGGAGGAAUACCGAUGGCGAAGGCAGGUCUCUGGGCUGACACUGACGCUCAUGCACGAAAGCGUGGGGAGCAAACAGG